UUAGGAAUCUUGCGCAAUGGGCGAAAGCCUGACGCAGCGAUGCCGCGUGCGGGAUGAAGGCCCUCGGGUCGUAAACCGCUUUCAGCAGGGACGAUAGUGACGGUACCUGCAGAAGAAGCCCCGGCCAACUACGUGCCAGCAGCCGCGGUAAUACGUAGGGGGCGAGCGUUGUCCGGAUUUAUUGGGCGUAAAGAGCUCGUAGGCGGUUUGGUAAGUCGGGUGUGAAAUCUCCACGCUCAACGUGGAGGGGCCACUCGAUACUGCCAUGACUCGAGUCCGGUAGAGGAGUGUGGAAUUCCCGGUGUAGCGGUGAAAUGCGCAGAUAUCGGGAGGAACACCCGGUAGCGAAGGCGGCACUCUGGGCCGGAACUGACGCUGAGGAGCGAAAGCGUGGGGAGCAAACAGGAUUAGAUACC
rnacentral:rRNA from 1 species